CUAGUCAACGAUCAUUGAGAUCAAAAAUUCACACCAGUAUCAUAUAGUUCCUUUUUUAUGUAUGGAAGGGAUGCAAGAUUUCCCUCAGUACCUGAAGAAUUACCGGUUUCCGAAACCAGCUCUAAUUGUCGUUUCUCCUAGAAGGGCAGGAGUCAUUUUUAUUGGUUGAUCGACCCCCCAGGACCCGCCUCUCAACCACUCAGAGAGAGGGAGAUGCAACACACCCUCAUCCAACCUCUCUGUGUCAUUGCCAUGAUUGGCAGGUUAUGGUCUUGAGUGGCCACUAGGUGAUUGAAUGCACAAAACAGGGCUGUAGCCAGUCAGCUGAUGAAACAUCUCACGGACAACAAUCUGCUUGAAUCUCUACAGUCUGGUUUCCGGCCGCAUCACAGUACUGAAACUGCUCUGCUCCGCAUUGUGAAUGGUCUUCUGCUCAAUGCUGAUGCUGGUGCUCCCUCUGUGCUUGUCCUCCUUGACCUAACAGCCGCUUUUGACACGAUAGAUCAUGGCAUUCCAUGCUGGAAUCUCUGGAUCCUGUGUCUCCUGAAUGUCCUCUUACCUAUUUAGACGCAUGUAGUCUGUUUUCUAUGCUGGAUGCAGUGGUGUUGCAAACCCAGUCCCUUGUGGUGUCCCCCAAGGAUCUAUUCUUGGGCCCCUUCUCUUCAAUAUCUACAUGCUUCCCUUGGGUAACCUCAUCCGCCAACUCAUGUUUCACUCCUAUGCUGACGACACCCAACUCUACUUAAAACUCGACCCUGGAAGCCCCUCUGCCAUAGUCCGGCUCUCGGCUUGCAUUCAAGACAUCGAGGCCUGGAUGUCUGCCAAUCAGCUGAACACUAGCAAAUCUGAACUCCUUCUAGUAGGACCUAAAACUCAACUUAAGAAUCUAAAUAUAGCUGCCCUGAACCUCGGAAACUGUCUGCUGCUGCCUUCCCCCACAGUACGAAGCCUUGGUGUACUUCUUGACAGUAACCUCUCCUUUGAAGCAAAAUGUGGAGGAUAAAAAACAAUUCUGCAGUUUUAGUUCUCAGCCUGCUGGUAACUUCACAAAACAUGAAUUACAAUGUUUGAUUGACUUAAAUACACAAAGGAAGGAAACAACAUUCAAAUAUUAUACUUUGUAAUGUGUAACUUCUCUGCAGCAUGCAGCUUCGCAAACAAUAUCCUGUAGUUAAAGCAUCAUUAAAUGUUAUUGCAACUUGUUUUUUAGCAUACAGUUACCUGUCACAAUAAAAU